rnacentral:rRNA from 1 species
GACGAACGCUGGCGGCGUGCUUAACACAUGCAAGUCGAACGAAGUGGCGAACGGGUGAGUAAUACGUGGGUAACCUGCCCUCCUUUUUGGGAUAAGCCUUGGAAACGGGGUCUAAUACCGAAUAAUGGUGGAUGGGGUCGCGGCCUAUCAGCUUGUUGGUGGGGUGAUGGCCUACCAAGGCGGUGACGGGUAGCCGGCCUGAGAGGGUGACGGACCACAUUGGGACUGAGAUACGGACCAGACGCCUACGGGAGGAAGCAGUGGGAGAUAUUGCACAAUGGGCGAAAGCCUGAUGCAGAGACGCCGCGUGGAGGAUGAAGGAUUUCGGGUUGUAAACCUCUUGCGCUAUCAAACGGGUAGGUUGAGAAGAAGCGCCGGCUAACUACGUGCCAGCAGCCGCGGUAAUUC